rnacentral:rRNA from 1 species
UUAUAAGAGACAGCAGUCGCCGCGGGAAUACGAAGGGUGCAAGCGUUACUCGGAAUUACUGGGCGUAAAGCGUGCGCAGGCGGUUCGUUAAGACAGAUGUGAAAUCCCCGGGCUUAACCUGGGAACUGCAUUUGUGACUGGCGAGCUAGAGUAUGGCAGAGGGGGGUAGAAUUCCACGUGUAGCAGUGAAAUGCGUAGAGAUGUGGAGGAACACCGAUGGCGAAGGCAAUCCCCUGGACCUGUACUGACGCUCAUGCACGAAAGCGUGGGGAGCAAACAGGAUUAGAUACCCCAGUAGUCCCUGUCUCUUAUAA